AUGAUGCAACAAAUCUGGUCCGUUGAUCAAGCACAAGCUCUAGCCUUAAAGGCCGAGAGGUUUGUGAGGAUGAGAAAGACAACUAAGGCUCCAUAUCCUCCAUAUCCUCAUACCGAAGGCUCAUCUAGGAGCCAACCUAAUAGAGUGGAAGAAAAGGCCACUCCACCAAAGACAAAACAGCCCAUCCUGAAACAAACUAGAGGCAAGGGUAAGGCAAAUGAAGGCCCAAAGUGCUAUAAAUGUGGUAAAGAGGGAUACAUAUCCAUCGGUUGCCCACUAAGGAAAUUUGUUGACACCACUAUCCAUGAUAGUGAAAGCGAUGAGGAAGAAUACGAAUCUGAAGAUGUAGACGGACAAGAGGUUUGUCAAGAAGAAGGUGAAGAGGUGAUAUGUGUGAUCCAGCGUGUCCUAUGCUCCACACCACAACUCGAUGACACACAAAGGAAGAAAAUAUUUGAGAGCAAAUGCACGGUGAAUGGCAAGGUAUGCAAACUAGUGAUUGAUAGUUGCAGCUGCGAGAAUCUUAUCUCCCAGAAGUUGGUGGACCAUUUAAAGCUUGAAACCCAUGGUCAUCCAAAUCCCUACACUAUUGGAUGGAUCAAGAAAGGAGUGGAUAUGAGGAUCACCAAACAAUGCAACCUGCCACUUUCUUUGGGUAAGCAUUAUCGCUCAAAUGUGUUGUGUGACGUGGUUGACAUGGAUGCCAGCCAUGUUCUUCUUGGGAGGCCUUGGCAAUUUGAUGUGGAUACUACACACAAGGGCAAGGAAAAUUCUUACUCUUUCAUUUGGAACAAGAGAAAGAUCAUUAUCUUACCAAACAAAACCGAAGGUAAUACCUCUAAGAAGGAGGGGAAAACUAUGUUAACUAUCUCCCAUACCUCCCAUGAGUUUAUGGAAGACUUGAAGGAGGCAGAUUUGUGUGCUGCACUUGUUGUAAAGGGAGAAGAGCACCUGACUGUUGAAAUUCCAGCAAAGGUACGUGGUUUAUUGGCAGAAUUUCAGAACAUACUUGGGGAGCCACAUGGCUUGCCACCGAUGAGAGGAAUUCAACAUAUAAUUGACUUAAUUCCGGGAGCAAGUCUUCCUAAUCUUCCACACUAUCGAAUGAGCCCAAAAGAGCAUGAUAUAUUGAAGGAGAAAGUGGAGGAAUUGUUGCAAAGGGGGCACAUUCGAGAAAGUAUUAGCCCAUGUGCUGUACCAGCCCUACUCGCGCCAAAGAAAGAUGGAUCUUGGCGCAUGUGUACGGACAGUAGAGCCGUUAACAAGAUCACCGUAAGGUAUAGAUUUCCUAUUCCUCGUCUGGAUGAUAUGUUGGAUCAGCUUAGUGGAGCAGGAGCGUUCACAAAGCUAGAUUUAAGAAGUGGAUAUCAUCAAAUCCGUAUAAGACCCGGGGAUGAAUGGAAGACCGCCUUCAAGACAAAGGAAGGGUUGUUUGAAUGGCUAGUCAUGCCAUUUGGACUCUCAAAUGCACCAAGUACCUUUAUGCACUUAAUGAACCAAGUCCUUAGACCCUUCUUAUCCCACUUUCUUGUGGUCUAUUUCGAUGACAUCUUGAUCUAUAGCAAGGAUGAGGAUGAACACUUUGAUCACAUUCGGAAGCUGCUAGAAGUAAAAGGGCAACCUGGUGCAUGUAGCUCCCGCUUGCGCAGGGUCCAGGGAAGGGUCCGACCACUUUGGGUCUAUAGUACGCAGCCUUUCCCUACAUUUCUGUAA
rnacentral:rRNA from 1 species